rnacentral:tRNA from 19 species
GGGCCUAUAGCUCAAUGGUCAGAGCAGAGGACUCAUAAUCCUUUGGUUCCAGGUUCGAGUCCUGGUGGGCCCACCA